rnacentral:rRNA from 1 species
GAUCCUGCCAGUAGUCAUAUGCUUGUCUCAAAGAUUAAGCCAUGCAUGUCUAAGUAUAAGCAAGUUAUACUGUGAAACUGCGAAUGGCUCAUUAUAUCAGUCAUAAUUUAUUUGAUAGUACCUCACUACAUGGAUAACCGUGGUAAUUCUAGAGCUAAUACAUGCUAAAAACCCCGACUCCGGAAGGGGUGUAUUUAUUAGAUUAAAAGCCAGCGCCCUUCGGGGCUCCUUGGUGAUUCAUGAUAACUUAACGAAUCGCAUGGCCUUGUGCCGGCGAUGGUUCAUUCAAAUUUCUGCCCUAUCAAUUGUCGAUGGUAGGAUAGAGGCCUACCAUGGUUUCAACGGGUAACGGGGGAUUAGGGUUCGACUCCGGAGAGGGAGCCUGAGAAACGGCUACCACAUCCAAGGAAGGCAGCAGGCGCGCAAAUUACCCAAUCCCGACACGGGGAGGUAGUGACAAUAAAUACUGAUAUUGGGGUCUUUAGGCUCUAAUAAUUGGAAUGAGUACAAUUUAAAUCCCUUGAGGGCCGGUGCCUGUUAGGGGAUUGUUAGAGUCACUCUCGUGGCGACACCCUCUCUCUUCGUGGACCCCUCUGGGGAAUCCGAAGCCUGGCGAGUUCGUCGGGUUCAGAGACUAGAUAAGGGUGGACGAUGCAGGUCGUUUAAGGUAUAGCCCAACCCCUUGACGUUCAAGUCCUGGGUAUAAGUGUAACGAGGAACAAUUGGAGGGCAAGUCUGGUGUACUUCGGUACCAGCGUUGCGAUCCCUAUCAGGGUGAGCUGCUGAGCGCCAGUGAUAAAUCUUCCAGCGUACAGCGGGGAAAGUUUAGUGGAAUUUAUUCUGCGAGGCAUCCGGUUCGGGGAAGGGCUCUCUGAUACGUCUAGGGCGUACAGCUGCCUUAUCUCGUGGCGACACAGUAGUGACGCUUUAACGCGCGGAAGGUUGCCGGUAGGGUUGAGAAUGCUACUUGAGGGACGUGCUAAGCCUGACCGUGAGGGUUCAGGAGACAGUGGCCAGCAGCCGCGGUAAUUCCAGCUCCAAUAGCGUAUAUUAAAGUUGUUGCAGUUAAAAAGCUCGUAGUUGAACCUUGGGCCUGGCUGGCCGGUCCGCCUCACCGCGUGCACUGGCUCGGCUGGGCCUUUCCUCCUGGGGAGCCGCAUGCCCUUCACUGGGUGUGUCGGGGAGCCAGGACUUUUACUUUGAAAAAAUUAGAGUGUUCAAAGCAGGC